rnacentral:rRNA from 1 species
CCCUUAGAUGUUCUGGGCUGCACGCGCGCUACACUGACACACUCAGCGAGUCACCUGAUCUGAGAAGACCGGGCAAUCAUGUGAGCGUGUGUCGUGAUGGGGAUAGAAUAUUGUAAUUAUUACUCUUCAACGAGGAAUUCCUAGUAAGCGCGAGUCAGCAGCUCGCGCUGAUUACGUCCCUGCCCUUUGUACACACCGCCCGUCGCUCCUACCGAGGGGGUGAUCCGGUGAAUGAUUCGGACUUUGGCAUUGCUAUGUUUCAUAGCAUUGCUGGGGGAAGUCUUGUGAACCUCAUCACUUGGAGGAAGGAGAAGUCGUAACA